AGUGGAAUAGCUGGGUCAUAUGAUGAGUUCAUGUUCAAUUUUUUAAAGAAACUGCCAAACUGUUUUCCAAAGUGGCUGUGCCAUUUACAUUCCCACCAGCAAU
rnacentral:pre_miRNA from 1 species